rnacentral:rRNA from 1 species
CCUAGUAACGGCGAGCGAAGCGGGAAGAGCUCAAAUUUAAAAGCUGGCACCUUCGGUGUCCGUGUUGUAAUCUCGAGACGUGUUUUCCGUGCGGCUCUAUGGACAAGUCCCUUGGAACAGGGCAUCGUAGAGGGUGAAAAUCCCGUACUUGCCAUGGAUGUACCGUGCUUUGUGAUACACGCUCUAAGAGUCGAGUUGUUUGGGAUUGCAGCUCAAAAUGGGUGGUAGACUCCAUCUAAAGCUAAAUAUCGGGGAGAGACCGAUAGCGAACAAGUACCGUGAGGGAAAGAUGAAAAGCACUUUGGAAAGAGAGUUAAAAGUACGUGAAAUUGUCGAAAGGGAAGCGCUUGAAGUCAGCCAUGCUGCGCGGACUCAGCCCGGCUGAUGCCUGGUGUAUUUCCCAGCAGCAAGUCAGCAUGGAUUUGGAUCGCCGGAGAAGGGUAGGAGGAAUGUGGCACCCUCGGGUGUGUUAAGCCUCCUACUGGAUACGGCGAUCUGGAUCCAGGAACGCAGUGUGCCUCUGGCGGGUCUUCGGACACCUUCACACUUAG